rnacentral:rRNA from 1 species
GACGAACGCUGGCGGCGUGCUUAACACAUGCAAGUCGAACGAUGAAGCUGGAGCUUGCUCCAGUGGAUUAGUGGCGAACGGGUGAGUAACACGUGAGCAAUCUGCCCUUGACUCUGGGAUAACCGCGGGAAACUGUAGCUAAUACCGGAUACGACACCUUGGGGCAUCCCGGGGUGUGGAAAGAAUUUCGGUCAAGGAUGAGCUCGCGGCCUAUCAGCUUGUUGGUGAGGUAAAGGCGCACCAAGGGGACGACGGGUAGCCGGCCUGAGAGGGUGACCGGCCACACUGGAACUGAGACACGGUCCAGACUCCUACGGGAGGCAGCAGUGGGGAAUAUUGCACAAUGGGCGAAAGCCUGAUGCAGCAACGCCGCGUGAGGGAUGACGGCCUUCGGGUUGUAAACCUCUUUUAGCAGGGAAGAAGCGAAAGUGACGGUACCUGCAGAAAAAGCACCGGCUAACUACGUGCCAGCCGCCGCGGUAA